UAGUAGAUAUUUACCGAAAACAACAAGCAUCUCCGGGUCAUCGGUGCAUCGAUGAGUGAGGCAGUCGCUGCGUGGACCAAUCAGAGUGGCCCUCGAUCGGCCGAAGUUGCGCGAGAUCCGCCGAAGUUGCGCGAGCGGCCCGUUUGAAUCUGAGUGGAGUAACGAUUUUCGGCAUUACGCUUUCAUUUCCUCGAUUUUUAGACAGUGUCACAAAAGGGUUAGUUAGUUUUCUAAAGUGAAAUUUCAUCUUCUUUCGAAAAGGUUCUUAUGAAAUUUUGCGUCAGAUUAACCCUGAAAAAGAUAUCGGCGAGAAAUCAUCGCGCGGCAGGCGUUCUCCCAUAAGAACGCGUGUUAAACCGCGGCCGAGUUUCAUCUACUAGUGUGACGUCACAGAAUCAUAGUUACGGCCUCUCCAUUCUCGUAGGCAACGCCUCCACCAGCGUGUUGUGUUUCGGUUGUGUUCUUUUUAAUUUCUUAAUUUUUGUGCUCGCAGCUCGCUCGCUCCUCCUCCUCCUCAACGCUCCUUUAGGAAU
rnacentral:lncRNA from 1 species